ensembl:lncRNA
GACCGUCUCACUGCUGCCCCCGGUGGCCGACGGCGGCUGGCACCGGGUGGUGCUCGUGCUCAGCAGCGCGGUCCCGGUCAACUGGGCCCUGUCUGUCCCUGGCGUGCGAGGGCGCAUCACCGUCUAUGUGAGAAACGCGCUCUUCGUCACCGGAACCGGCACGCGGCGUCGCGUCUGCUCCAUCUGAUUCUUGUUGUGCUUGUUUGUCCCUCAGGCGUCCAACAGCGUGACCCCUCUUCACCCCCAAAAGCCUGAUCUCACCAUGAGCAGCGUCCUCAGCAGCGAACUCCUCACUGUCCAGGACCCGCUGCGGUGGACCAACGAGAACGGCUUUCCGAAGGUCACGUCGUACACGGAAGCCGACUUGGCCAACCGCUUCGUGGUCAGGCUGGCGGGGGGCCGGACAGGCCACCCGGCCGCCGCGCUGCCCCUGUGGCUGCAGAAGCUGCGACUGAGUGGCGGCGGCGACCGGGCCGUGGCGGAGGCGGUCAGCGUCCGGUGUCACGAUGGCCGGCUCUCCGUGGCCUUGGACCGGCACGUCCUGCAGACCCUGACCAUCACGGUGGCCGCCGCGACCCUGCGCGACCCUCACUGCCGGGCGCAGUCCAACGGCAGCCACUUCCUGCUGGCCUUCCCGGUCAUUUCCUGCGGGACGGAGGGGCUGCUGGAGGGCAGCAGCAGGGGCGUGCAGUACCAAAACACGGUGUUGCUCUGGAGUCAGGAACCGACCGGCAGCCUGAAGAACGUCACCACAGAGUCACGGCAGCAGGACCCCCGGUCCCCACUGGCCAUACAUAUCAGAUGCGUGGCUCCAGCCCCUGCAGCGCCCGCAUCAUCAGACGGGGAGGUGGGGGCGCGGCGUGACCGGGGUCCCCCCUGGGCACCCGGAUCCCGGGCCACUCCUCUGCUCACCCUGCAGCUCUUCGUGACGGAGCAUUACGAGAACAGGCCGUCGGGGCCCUGUGUGAUCACAGCAGAGAACCGCGUCUACGUGGAGGUGUGUGUGUAUAUGUGUGUAUGUAUGUGUGUAUGUGUGUAUAUGUACAGUAUGUCUGUGUGUAUAUGUGUGUAUAUGUGUGUAUGUGUAUGUAUGUGUGUAUAUGUACAGUAUAAGUGUGUGUAUGUGUGUGUGUGUAUGUAUGUGUAUAUAUGUGUGUAUGUAUGUGGUGUGUGUAUGUAUGUGUGUAUGUAUGUAUCUGUGUGUGUGUGUAUGUAUGUGUGUAUAUGUGUGUGUGUGUAUGUAUCUGUGUGUGUGUAUGUAUGUGUGUAUGUGUGUGUAUGUAUGUGUGUUGGUGUGUGUAUAUGUGUGUAUGUGUGUGUGUAUAUGUGUGUGUGUGUGUGUAUAUGUAUGUGUGUGUGUGUGUGUGUGACUUGCUUCUUGUUUUAUCUGCUGCUCUGUGUUGUUAUUACGUCCCCGUCUGGUUUCUGCUCGGCGUCCGUUACUUGUUUGCUACCAGAUCUCCGCCCAGACGAGCUUCACCGGCGGGGUGGAGGUCCUGUGGUGCGUCGUCUCGCCCCUGUCUAACCCCCGAGCCUCCCCUGGUUGGCCGGUCAUCGCGAGCGGCUGCUCCAUCGACCCCUCGCUCAUCCUGACCCCGGCGAAGAAGGCGGGGGGUGACGAGGACGCGCCGGGAGCGGGGCGUGCCGGGGAGGACGAGCCCUCCAGACUGCGCUUCAGCUUCAUCCUGAGGCCGGUCUACAACAACUCCAUCCAGUUCCUCCACUGCGGCCUUCGCCAGUGCAGCUUCGCGGCCCAGGAGGCCACGGUGCCCAGGGUCUGCCAGCGGGGCGUCCCCAUCCCAGGACUCGGAGCGCGGCGCGCCAGGGAGGAGGUACGAAUUCAGGAAGUUCCUCCAUGCUGGAGGUGAAAGUAGAAAAGCUCUCCCUCUCUUUUACAGUGCGAAUGGAGGAAUCUGUCUCGGCCCAUGCUGGUCACGUCUCCCAUGGUGCUGAUCGGACG